CCGCAAGGCGGGAAGGGAGCUCAGCUGUCAGCGCCGUUGUGGCUCCGGUCUGACAGGACGAGGAGGACUUGGCUGUCUGCUCUCCUCUUCUUCCUCCUGUUCUUGGUGGCGCCUGCCUUCGCCUUUAAGCUAAACGUGCCCAAAGUGUUGCUGCCCUUCAGCCGGGAGCUCUGGGUUCCCUGAGGGGGGCUUUUACUCCUGGAGAUCCCUUUGCAGCCUGGAUUUUUAAGCCUGGAAAUGGAUAAUCUCUGGGAUUCCUGGGACCAGUUACAGCCUACCUGUGUGUGUCUGACAUGCAUGAGUUGGAGGUGGAUCUCACUGAUAAGGUGAUGGAUGCAAUCUUAGGGACUGCAUUUCUAAAACCUAAUGUGGUAGCAUAUUUCCCUGAGAGGAGUCAACACCAAGGCAGAUCUUAGGAUUAAGCAUCCAGGACAUGGAUAUAAGACCUCAAGGAAGAAUGUAUGAAGCACUCUCUUCCUUCCUCCUCUCCCCUUCUCUUUUUAAUCUAGCUUGAGAUUGGCAAGUCUCUUGUCAUUACUGUUCGAGUCCUGGGUUUUCAGCAACUUCCCUUGCAGAGUAAAUACUUCAAAUAUGUGAGGCUGAAGCUGCAAACAGCAUCUCCUAUCGUUACACUUGUGAGAGCAUUACAGUUGGCAGGUCGGAGCACUCUUUAAUUAUGAACUGGUAAUGUUCACCUUGAAAAAAACAGAACUGAUAAUUACAGAAGAAAAGUUAUUUAUGAUGCCCUGGUUAUUUGCUGGCUUACUGUGUAAAUGUUGGUAGAGUGCAUGAAAGGUGUCAGGGCUGUAAUUGCCAGCUUUAGCAGCGAGUUCUCAGGAUAAUCUACAUCCUUUUGUAAAACGUUAAUGAGUUACACUUUAGGGAUAACUUUUUUGGCAGGCUGUGGCAAUUAACUCAUGUUUGUAAAGCUCUUUGAGAUUCCUGGUUGCAGGACUAAAAUAUUUUUUCAUCUCUCACUGCCUAUGUUUCUUUGUUACUACAUGGGCAUACGAAACAGUGAUAUAUCUCUGCAUUAAUUCAGACCUGGUAGCUCAGGCCAUAAAUUUUCUUUUGACAGAGAAACUGAUUCCCUCACACUUACUGUAUUUAUUAGAUGAUAUUUUGCCACUUGGAGCUCUAUGUGUCCUAUUGGGACUAUAGAUAUCUCAAAAUUCAAGCCUCAAUAGUAUAGCAGUCACAACUUGCAUAUUGGUUUCUGCCUGAGUUCUCUCUUAGUUAUUGUACAGGAAGUGAACGGUGAAGUCAUGGUAAGGUGUAUUCACAGGCAAAUGGAAUAAGUGGGAGAAUAGUCUGAAUUGUAUGUACUUUAAGCUGUUGCUGUUGGCCAGGCAACUGGUAGCUGUGGCCUGGGACAAGAUGGGAAGAAGAUUUACUUCUGCUCCUUGGAAAGUUGAGCUAAGAGUGCACAGCUUUUAAAUCUGCUCACCUUUGAGUGUUUCUGACCCACCAUAGAAUCCUUUUUUUUUUCAAAGUUCUUUAAGAAAAAAGAAAAAUAAAAAUCCCACUUAUGAUGAUAUUCUGAAGCCUUGAUGUUUUAUGUCUCUUCAAUUCAUAUAAAAAAAGGAUCUUAUAAAUAAUUGUUGUCAGGGUCCAUUUAUACCAUUUCUGUAUUUUGGCAAAGUAUCUGUUGUUUUCUCCUAGUCCUUUCAUUCAGAAGGCAGAAUCCCUUCCUUCACUAGAAAUCUCUGUACUCUGUAAUAAAACUGUGCCAAGAUCUCCUUAGACAGGCUCAUGUGAUUCAACAUUAACAUUCCUAGUGUAUAGUGAUAUUUACAAAAAAGAAGUGUGUAUAACAUUUUACAGCAGAAUAUUUUCCCUUUUACCAGGUCUUUCCUCCAUUUAAACUGAUUCCAAAGAAAAUCACUCUUAUUCCACACAAUAUGAUGCAGUGAACAGCUUGUGUUGUAUUGAUGAUAAAUAAGGUAAUGUCAGAAGGUGGCCCCAGCCACAGUCCAUCAUCCAUUUCUGUCACUAACUGCUCCAUUGCUGAGGUUAACUGACUUGGACAAGUAAUGGCAAGGACAGUUGGAACAGCUGUGAUGGAGGGUGCUAUCCAGGUGAUUAGUGAAGACACAGGAAAAGUUACUGUUUUUUC